rnacentral:rRNA from 1 species
AUUGAACGCUGGCGGCAUGCUUUACACAUGCAAGUCGAACGGUAACAGGCCGCAAGGUGCUGACGAGUGGCGAACGGGUGAGUAAUGCAUCGGAACGUGCCCAGUCGUGGGGGAUAACUACUCGAAAGAGUAGCUAAUACCGCAUACGAUCUAUGGAUGAAAGCGGGGGACCGUAAGGCCUCGCGCGAUUGGAGCGGCCGAUGUCAGAUUAGGUAGUUGGUGGGGUAAAGGCUCACCAAGCCAACGAUCUGUAGCUGGUCUGAGAGGACAACCAGCCACACUGGGACUGAGACACGGCCCAGACUCCUACGGGAGGCAGCAGUGGGGAAUGUUGGACAAUGGGCGCAAGCCUGAUCCAGCAAUGCCGCGUGCAGGAAGAAGGCCUUCGGGUUGUAAACUGCUUUUGUACGGAACGAAACGGCUCUGGUUAAUACCCGGGGCUAAUGACGGUACCGGAAGAAUAAGCACCGGCUAACUACGUG